UGAGGAAUAUUGGACAAUGGGCGCAAGCCUGAUCCAGCCAUGCCGCGUGCAGGAAGACGGCCCUAUGGGUUGUAAACUGCUUUUAUACAGGAAGAAACACCUCUACGUGUAGAGGCUUGACGGUACUGUAAGAAUAAGGAUCGGCUAACUCCGUGCCAGCAGCCGCGGUAAUACGGAGGAUCCAAGCGUUAUCCGGAAUCAUUGGGUUUAAAGGGUCCGUAGGUGGACAAUUAAGUCAGAGGUGAAAUCCUGCAGCUCAACUGUAGAAUUGCCUUUGAAACUGGUUGUCUUGAAUCAUUAUGAAGUGGUUAGAAUAUGUGGUGUAGCGGUGAAAUGCAUAGAUAUCACAUAGAAUACCGAUUGCGAAGGCAGAUCACUAAUAAUGUAUUGACACUGAUGGACGAAAGCGUGGGGAGCGAACA
rnacentral:rRNA from 1 species